UUCGCAAUGCCCGAAAGGGUGACGGAGCGACGCCGCGUGUAGGAUGAAGUCCUUCGGGAUGUAAACUACUGUCAGGGGAAAGAAAGUACUGAUCUACCCCAGAGGAAGGCACGGCUAACUCUGUGCCAGCAGCCGCGGUAAGACAGAGGUGCCAAGCGUUAGGCGGAAUCACUGGGCUUAAAGCGCGUGUAGGCGGAUGGGAACGUCGGUCUUUGAAAGCCCCCGGCUCAACCGGGGAAGCGGAGCCGAAACGACCGAUCUGGAGGGGCGUAGGGGGACCUGGAACUUCCGGUGGAGCGGUGAAAUGCGUUGAGAUCGGAAGGAACGCCCGUGGCGAAAGCGAGGUCCUGGACGUCUGCUGACGCUGAGACGCGAAAGCUAGGGGAGCAAACGGGAUUAGAUACCCCGGUAGUCCUAGCCGUAAACGAUGGGCACUAAGUAGAGGGGUUUU
rnacentral:rRNA from 1 species